GAACCGUGCGAACGUUGUUCGGAAUCACUGGGCUUAAAGGGCGCGUAGGCGGGUCGGCAAGUCCGGGGUGAAAUCCUCCAGCUCAACUGGAGAAGUGCCUUGGAUACUGCCGGUCUCGAGGGAGGCAGGGGUCUGUGGAACUUCUGGUGGAGCGGUGAAAUGCGUUGAUAUCAGAAGGAACGCCGGUGGCGAAAGCGACGGACUGGUCCUCUUCUGACGCUGAGGCGCGACAGCGUGGGGAGCAAACAGGAUUAGAUACCCUGGUAGUCCACGCCGUAAACGAUGGGCACUAGGUGCUUGGGGGAGCGACCCUCCGAGUGCCGGCGCUAACGCAUUAAGUGCCCCGCCUGGGGAGUACGGCCGCAAGGCUG
rnacentral:rRNA from 1 species